UACGUUCAUCGCCUUAAAAAGCGACGGAAGUAGACGAAAGUCGAAGGAACGCAUG
ncrna:unclassified sequences Glutamine riboswitch